rnacentral:rRNA from 1 species
UACGUAGGGUGCAAGCGUUAAUCGGAAUUACUGGGCGUAAAGCGUGCGCAGGCGGUUUUGUAAGUCUGACGUGAAAUCCCCCGGGCUUAACCUGGGAAUUGCGUUGGAGACUGCAAGGCUGGAGUCUGGCAGAGGGGGGGUAGAAUUCCACGUGUAGCAGUGAAAUGCGUAGAGAUGUGGAGGAACACCGAUGGCGAAGGCAGCCCCCCUGGGUCAAGACUGACGCUCAUGCACGAAAGCGUGGGGAGCAAACAGG